CUUAAAUUGAAGAGUUUGAUCAUGGCUCAGAUUGAACGCUGGCGGCAGGCCUAACACAUGCAAGUCGAGCGGAAACGAGUUAUCAGAACCUUCGGGGAA
rnacentral:rRNA from 1 species